CCUACGGGUGACUGCAGUGAGGAAUAUUGGUCAAUGGACGAGAGUCUGAACCAGCCAAGUAGCGUGAAGGAUGACUGCCCUAUGGGUUGUAAACUUCUUUUAUAAAGGAAUAAAACGAGGCACGUGUGCCUUUUGCAUGUACUUUAUGAAAAAGGAUCGGCUAACUCCGUGCCAGCAGCCGCGGUAAUACGGAGGAUCCGAGCGUUAUCCGGAUUUAUUGGGUUUAAAGGGAGCGUAGAUGGGUUGUUAAGUCAGUUGUGAAAGUUUGCGGCUCAACCGUGAAAUUGCAAUUGAAACUGAGAGUCUUGAGUACAGAUGGGGAAGGCGGAAUUCAUGGUGUAGCGGUGAAAUGCUUAGAUAUCACGAAGAACCCCGAUUGCGAAGGCAACUUAC
rnacentral:rRNA from 1 species